AUUUUAUUAUUUUCCUUCUUAUGCAUAUAUUUUCUAGGUAUCAUAUUUAUAUUUAUAUAUAAAUAUUUGAUUCUUCUCAUACUUGAGCACUUCAGCAAUCUUUGUAUAUACCUUUAUUUCUUUAGAGCACUUUUCCUUUCCCUUUCCCUACUAUGACUCUUUAGAGGGAUUGUUGUCUAGAUUUGAUUCACAACUGCGUUUCCUUUUCUUCUCCUUCUUAUUAUGGAUCGAGAAAGGCUUUUCAUUCGCUGGAAUUGAAAAGGAUGUGUUUUAAAUCACACAUUUGUUUCAGUUUUCAUCGAUCUAGAGUUUCUAAAAGCACGAUUUUUUGUUGACGUUCUUUCUGGUCAAGUUUUCUUUUCAUAGGGAUAUUGGAUUUCCUUGUCUCUUUUUUUCUUUUUAUUAUUUAUAUUUUUCUUCUUUUGGUUCUUGAGGAAUGAUUUCAUCUGGGUAGGUUCCUUUACUAAAGUGGUCUCGUGUACCAAAACCACACAUAAAUUUGCACAUAAAAUCUCUAUUUUCCUUCCACCUUCUUCUGUCUACUUCUCUCUUUGAUUUUUUUUUACUCUCCCUUAAUCAGUCUCUAUGUUUCAUGAUAUUCCCUUUUUUCUAUUUUCCAGUUUCUCCUUGGAGUUAGAUUUUCCUUUUCUCUGCGUAUGGCUUAUAUUGAGCCAUAAUAAGUACCUUUUUUUUUAUGAGAGUGAACAGUAUGCUACAUAUAGCUUCUAUAUAUAUGUUACUUUGUUUUAGGAGCUAUAGUUGCAUGGACAGAUAGAUUAACAGUCGUUAUUUGCGGAUGUAGCAUCAUCAAGAUUCACAUGCAAGCGCAGGUGGUGGGUGGGACUUGAUGCAAUCUAAGUGCUGUGCCAGCCAAGCCAUAGGUCUUUUGGAACUGAGAAUCUUGAUGAUGCUGCAUCAGCCAUAAACGACUUCACUUUAAAAAGUUAGAUAAGGACUAUUCUAACCUCAACAAGUGGGCAAAAAAAAAAAACAUAAUGAAAAAACCAAAAACUGUUGUUGGGGGAUACACACAUGAGCAUGGCACAGCCAAAACCUUGAGACAUGAUCUGAUCUGUGCAUUUAAACCAAGAGAGGUGGUGACCUUUCCCACUUUGCUUUUUGUUGGUGUCAGUGUUUUGCAGAGACAAUCCUAGGUUAUCAAGUAAAUAUAGGCUAUUUUGGAGGCCGAGAGGAGCGGCCGUUUUGGCCCUUUAUGUGCUGACUACUUCACAGAUCUAUGAUGAAUAUUCCUUUUCAACAGAGAGAUGCUGGGAUCUAAAUGGUGUCUUUUCAGUUUCUAUAUAUAGAUGCAGAUAUAUGACUUUAUCCAAAUCUGGAGAGAAGAAUGUUAGAGAGACAAGCACAGAGAGAAAGUUAAAAUUAGUAAUAUUUGUAAUUUUAGGGUACUCAUGAGAAACUAGCCAGUGUUUGGUGCUGAUAUUGUGACGAAACUGUGCAGAUUAUUGAGAAUGGAAAGUGGCCUGGGAACAUGGAUAUACAUGAACACAGACAUAUAAUGGACAUGGUGAAGGCUUUGGCUUUAGUAGGACUAGUCACCCAUAGCUCGGGUUAGUGGACCAAGGACCUCUUACAAGUUGGACCCUCCAAGGCACUCUAUCUAUGUGGGUGAGGUGAUCAUUAAAUUAAAACAACAGUCUCUUGACUCUCUUCUAAUUCAAGGGCCGAAGUUUUCCCACUAGCUUCUGGAUCUUGUACAUCGAUCUUUUCCACAAGUUGCACAUGUAGAUAACUACUGCAUUCUGCGUCAAAAUGGACAUAGUCACAUGCCACUGCGUACUAUAUUCAGUGCUGGUUAUAUCUCCUUUGGCAAAGAGGAACAACACAAAUCACAAACGGAAUUCGUUCAGGUUGUCCAAAAUCUAAAUUAACCAUCACCAAGAAUCCAUUUGUUUGAAGUAUAUAAGGUGCUCACACUGUUUUGUUUGACCCUAGCUACGUUUUAUACUUUGAUGUUUGGUACAAAAUGUUCUGAUGAGAUUCCCAUAUCACGUCAUGUUGGGAUGUUGAGGUACACAUUGAUUACCAUGCAAACAUAUAUAUCUGGAAAGGAAGAACUGAUAUGGUUCUUCUGCUUUUACUAUUUUCCGCCUUCAAAUCUUCAAUAAUACACUGUAACUCUGAGUAUAGAGAUAUUUGAAGGCCACGUUUUGUUCUAUUCUAACUUUUUGGUGGGUGAAGUGAAUUCUCUUUUUGACAGCCACUAAUAUUGGGAAGCUUUCAGUGAAACUCGAUUUAGACAGUCCCAUUUUGCCCAAAUGGAGUUCAUA